GCCUGGGACUCAAAGGUGUAGGGUGCUGGUCCCAUAUACCAGAGGUGGUGGGUUCAAGCCCCACCCCAGCCA
rnacentral:tRNA from 1 species